rnacentral:lncRNA from 1 species
GGGUGAAACCCAAAACACAAUGCAGAAAAUAACUCCCAAUAUCGGGGUGUCACUAUGUCAUGAGCGUCUAUACAUAGUCAGUCUAGAAAUGAAACGACUAUAACAACUUGGAUCUAAAUACAACGAAAGAAAUAGAUGAGGAAGGAGAAAACAAGGUCCGCGAACGCCAGGCAACAGCUACCUCACAAUCUCCAAUGGUCAGCUACAAGAACUAUCAACACCCUCCGCGUCCAGAAACUCCUGGAUCUGCACAUGAAGUGCAGUGUGUAGCGUGAGUACAACCAACUAAGUAAGUAACAAUAAUAAAUAAGGAACUGAAAGUUAGUGACGAGCUACACAGUUAUAGUUCAUUUUCAGUAAUCUCAGCAAGAAGUAGACAUGCUUUCAAAUCCGGCAAUUUAAGUCAAAUCAGUUUUAUACAUUUUCAAGUUCAAGUAAAAAUCGGAUAUAAAAUCUUUCAGAAAUUUCAAAACAAUGAUAGAUAACAACUAAGUGCAACAACAAAUGAAAGCAAGUACAACCUCUUAGGGAAACAGUCACUCAACUCUUCUCAACAACUCAAUCACUCGGCUCUCAGCCCUCAGCCCUCAGCACUCAAUAGGUACAUGCGCUCACUGGGGUGUACAAACUCUGGAGGGGCUCCUACAGCCCAAGCGUUAUAAUCCGCACGGACAACUCACGUGCUAUAAUAUCAUAUCAAGAUCCGCACGGACAACUCACAUGCUACAAUAUAAAUGUCUGGAUCCGCACGGACAACUCACGUGCUAUGGUAUCAAUAUCUCACCAUCAGUCCCUCGGCCUCACUCAGUCAUCAACCUCUCUAGUCUUUCGGGCUCUCAGAAAUCUGAAAAAUCAGCCCAAACAGCAAUAACAUGAUGUAUUAAUAAGAAUAACAGAGACUGAGAAAGAAGUUUCAGUCAGAUUGUUCAUGUUUAUGUUGCUGGUCCAACUAAUACAAGAGUAGAUGCCACGAUUGGAUAAAAUUAAAUUUUAACGCCUGUAGUUGAAUAUACAUAUUCCAUCUGGAAAUCCAUUGGGAAAAGAAGAAGAAGAAAACCAAGCUAAUCAUAAGAUAGAACACCAAGCUAAAUAUAGGAUGAUAAAUGCCAAAGCAAAAGAGAGAGAGGGGGCUAGCCUGAAAAUCAAACCAGCAUGGAAAGAGUUCUAAUUGUAUAGAAUGGUACUAUGUCUAAUAAAUAAGAGUAGAAGAAGGCAAACAUUCUUAAAGCACUUUGUAUUAAUUAUCCCAAACGUUAAAUAUAUGUAGAAUAGAUUAUUUGUACUCUGUGACAGUAAUUUUCAAAAUAUUACAGAAAGUAAGAAGCUCAUACUACUAACCGCUCAUAAAUUAUUUAGAUGAUCCAGAUUUUCUAGAGCUGAGCUGCACCAUUGCAUCUCUAAGAAAAAUUAGAGCUGCACCAUUUUGCACUCUAAGAAAAAUUAGAUCGUCCAAACUUGAAGCGAGAAAAUGACAGAGACAUUCUCAAAAAGUAUAUUAAUAUCCGCACAUCCAAGUAACAUCAAAUGAACAGAGGGCUAAUUUCACCAUAAUUUUUGAUAAAUAAAUAAUCCUGUAAGAGUUUCAUUAUUCUUCAAUCACUUGAGGACAAAAAACAGAAAAGGAGUUAUCACUUAUCACAUGCCAUUUAUCCUUCAGAUUAGACUAUGAUAUACUUUUCUUCGUUUCAGUUUGCAGGUAAACUUUUACCUUAAAAAAUAGUCAUCUCCCUUUUAAGUUCUGUUUUUUGCUAAUCUCUAGGAUAAUAUGUACCCACGAACUUCUAUUACCAAAACCUCAAGGGUAAUAUAUCCAAAACCUAACUACAGGAAUCCAAAAGACAUGAAAAUCUAUUAAGUGAUCAAAAACAUAAGAGCCAGCAAAGCUGAUAAGUUCAGCUUUAUACUAAUUAUAAAUGAUAAAUAAAAGCAUUGGAAGCAAUUCUACUUCACAUAAAACCAUGAAUCAACCAGUCAGGUUCCUUAUAUCGUUGUGUAUUUAGCCAAAUUUAGGGAACUAAACAACAGUUUGCUUCUCUACGAUCAUCAACCUUGUCGUAGAAACAUCAUAAGAAAAUUUUGUUAAGGGUUCACCAAAUGAAGCCUUUCUGCUGUGGAUCGUUGAUUUCAUUGAAUUGCUCUUUGUUUCUGGGAAAAUGAUAUGUUAACCUGAAUAUAAGCUAUUACAAUGGAACAUAAGACUUUUUCUUUUGCUUAGGUCAAGAACAUUAGAAUAAAACUUUAGUCCGUAGUCUUAUAUAUUCUACAAUGUCUAAAAAAAUCAGAUAACAUGAUAAGUACCACAAUCUGGCUGAUAACUGAAAAAAACAACAUAAUAUAAUUUGAAUUAUCGUAAUCCCACGAGCACAGUAGCUAGAAAAAAAGAUGUAUGUAGAGGUGACAAACACAAAAACAAGUUUUAGUGUAAAGUUUUUUCAGGUGAAUAUUUUUUCCAGAUAAGACAAUGCAAUAAAGUUGUUUUUAAAUGUUAUGCCGGAUACAAAGAGUACUUGUAUACUGGUUAUGACUGCUUAAAUACAUAACCGAGAAGUAAUGAGAUUAUCGCUAAAAAUACACUCAAGGAUCCUUGAACCACUAAUCAUCAUUGCAAGAACCUAGGGAGUUCCUACUCGAAGAGCAAUCACAUUGAAGAAAACCAAAUUAAUAAGGCAACCAAUUGUGCUCAUCUUUAAAGUAUUCUAAAAAAAAUAAUGACAGAGAGCAACAUACUUAAAGAGAUGUCCAAGAAAACAAAAUCAUCAAAGACAUAAAAGCAUGAUUGGAGGAGACCAGAGAAUAAUGUCAGCUGUGGACGGAAAAAAUAUAGAAAAGCAAUUUGGUAUUUGGUUUUCCAUAUGCCCAUUUCCUCUUCCAGAGGAUUAUGAGACAUUUGUGCAAGAAUUCCAGUAAAGCGUUUCUAAUUUUGGGUUUGAUUCUUUUGACUUGUUUGAGAUAAUUCUUUAUUUCUUUUUCCUCAUUUGAAUCUCACUGAAUUUGAAAUCUAAUUAAGCUCUAAUUCGUUAACAUGUAUAUCUUCAAUCCAUCAAGCAUCAAGUGGUAAGAAGUGCAACGUAUUUUUAGAAAUUAUAUCCAAGCAAAAUUUAAGAAUUCAAAUUCUAGAGUUAGCCAUAUAGAUCAAAUAGUAGGAAGCCAUAUUUGAAGAGCUCUGUUUCUUAAAAAGUAUAGUCAAGGAGAAAAAUAUUUGACCAACUAUAUAUUAAAAUACAGAAAAGACUUCUCAAACAUUCAAGAUAAGCAACACCACGUGAAAGUGUUCCUGUGGCAUCAAGAAAAUGAAGCCCGACAUUAAGGUCCGCUUGGACCUCCAAAAAUUUUCCCUCUUCUCAAAAUCAAAAAUUUAGUUUUCAUUUCACCAAAAUAACCUGUGAGUAAAUCAGGCAAGUGGCAUCAUCGUCCAAAUGGAUAGUUGUAAAGAAACAAUCUAAUUCAGCAACUCAAGAAAAUAUGAUUAGGAUCUGCAUUUUGUUUAACAAUAUGAAAAAAAAGAAGAAGGAAUCAUGUGCUGAUUGAAUUGAAAAUAAAAAUAUCUAAUGAGCAUGAAGUUAGACAUAGCACACAGUGUGCUCUGACCUUCAAUCAUGUUUGGCAACUUCUUAUAUCUCUAAAAAAACAUAUGUAUUUGUGCAUCUACAAAUGUUAAAUUUCAUAAAAUCAUAUACACAUUAAAAAGAUACAUGUAGAAAUGUAAUUCAAUAUCAAUUAAAAUUUACUAAGCGCUAACUGACAAAAAAAUGAGGAGCAUACUAUGUGGAAACUGCCAUCACCUUGGCAAUCAAACUACUAUUUUUUUUCUGGGAAAACAUCUAAGGUGUAAUAGUACCAAAAACACCAAGAUGAAUCACAAAAGAUCAUAAAAUGGUACAUUACUCAUAUAAAGGAUAAGCAUAACAGUGUCUAUGUGUGAGAUGACCUCUUACUCUCUUAGCAAGAGCAAUUGUAAGUCGAUAUGGUAAAACAACUUGGCGACACACUUAUAAAAACAACUGUCUGUGUAAGAAGCACUUGCCCGGAUCCACCUCAAUACUUCAACAGAUGAAUCUCUCUGCAUUUAAAUGCUUCCUGAAAUGUCCAGAAAUUUUCCUACAAAAACAAAUGAUGGCAUCAUCCCUAAUUCCAAGGCCAUUAGACAAUCUCCAAUGCAAAGAAAAUGGAGAGAAAUCCGAACAUAUUGCACGAAAAGAGCAAGAAACCAAAAGAACCCACCAAAAGUUUUCCUACAACAUAGACACAGAAGUAAGCACAUAUAAAGUCAACAAAACAUAAUGCACAAUAUAUUGUUCAAUAAUUCUGUUACUGGAAAAAAGUAAUGUACUACUGAAUGAAGAUUGUUUAUAUUAUAGAACCCCUACAGAAGAAGAAUAGAGUAUAAAAUUAUUCAGCACUUUCAGGCAUAUAGUCAAACACCAUUGCUGCAUUAAAGUUCUUCACCUUCCAUUACUCUAUUUGUUUCUGAUAGCAAUUCAAAAUCUAGAAUGAAAAAGUAACCACAUGCAUGUUCAAAGUCCACCUAGAAAGCAUGGAGAAAGAGGAAAACCAAACAUAUAAAUAUAAAUCAAUUCAAAAUCAUACAUGUUGUACCAAAAAGAAAAAUAAAGAAAAAAAUACAAAAAGAAUUUCAUUGGCAAAUGAAGAUUAAUAGUCUUUAAAAAUAGAAUCAAAGAUUUACAUACUUACCACGAAAGAAUAGAGGAAAACUAAGCAGAACUCAGAAAUUUCUCUUGCACCGUGUUUAGGCUCUCUGAUUGUAUCUCGCUAAUCAGAAAUUCAGGAUGCGCGUGUGUUUUGGAGAGAGAACACUACACAAAGAACAUGGAACACGGAUUACAAGCAAAUCCAAUAAGAAAUACAUAAACUCAGAGGAAUAAUUGAACAACAUAAGCUAAACAAGAUAUUCACCGGAACGCUAUUGAACUUAAC